UACGAAGGGGGCUAGCGUUGUUCGGAAUUACUGGGCGUAAAGCGCACGUAGGCGGAUAUUUAAGUCGGGGGUGAAAUCCCGGGGCUCAACCCCGGAACUGCCUUCGAUACUGGGUAUCUUGAGUUCGGAAGAGGUGAGUGGAAUUGCGAGUGUAGAGGUGAAAUUCGUAGAUAUUCGGAAGAACACCAGUGGCGAAGGCGGCUGACUGGACAUGUAUUGACGCUGAGGUGCGAAAGCGUGGGGAGCAAACAGG
rnacentral:rRNA from 1 species